UACGAAGGGGGCUAGCGUUGCUCGGAAUCACUGGGCGUAAAGCGCACGUAGGCGGCUUUCUAAGUCAGGGGUGAAAUCCUGGAGCUCAACUCCAGAACUGCCUUUGAUACUGGAAAGCUUGAGUUCGGGAGAGGUGAGUGGAACUGCGAGUGUAGAGGUGAAAUUCGUAGAUAUUCGCAAGAACACCAGUGGCGAAGGCGGCUCGCUGGCCCGAUACUGACGCUGAGGUGCGAAAGCGUGGGGAGCAAACAGG
rnacentral:rRNA from 1 species